GUGUCAGCCGCCGCGGUAAUACGGAGGGUGCAAGCGUUACUCGGAAUCACUGGGCGUAAAGCGCGCGCAGGCGGCCCGUUAAGUUGGAUGUGAAAUCCUAUGGCUCAACCAUAGAACUGCAUCCAAAACUGAUGGGCUAGAGUCUGGGAGGGGAAGAUGGAAUUAGUGGUGUAGGGGUAAAAUCCGUAGAGAUCACUAGGAAUACCAAAAGCGAAGGCGAUCUUCUGGAACAGUACUGACGCUGAGGCGCGAAAGCGUGGGGAGCAAACAGGAUUAGAUACCCUGGUAGUCCACGCCCUAAACUAUGAAUGUUAGUCGUCGGGGGGCUCGUCCUUUCGGUGAUGCAGCUAACGCAUUAAACAUUCCGCCUGGGGAGUACGGUCGCAAGAUUAAA
rnacentral:rRNA from 1 species